AUACGUAGGGGGCAAGCGUUAUCCGGAAUUACUGGGUGUAAAGGGAGCGUAGGCGGGAUCGCAAGUCAGAUGUGAAAUACAUGGGCUUAACCCAUGGGCUGCAUUUGAAACUGUGGUUCUUGAGUGAAGUAGAGGUAAGCGGAAUUCCUGGUGUAGCGGUGAAAUGCGUAGAUAUCAGGAGGAACACCGGUGGCGAAGGCGGCUUACUGGGCUUUUACUGACGCUGAGGCUCGAAAGCGUGGGGAGCAAACAGGAUUAGAUACCCUGGUAGUCCACGCUGUAAACGAUGAUUACUAGGUGUGGGGGGACUGACCCCUUCCGUGCCGCAGUUAACACAAUAAGUAAUCCACCUGGGGAGUACGGCCGCAAGGUUGAAACUCAAAUGAAUUGACGGGG
rnacentral:rRNA from 1 species